UGCCAGCAGCCGCGGUAAUACAUAAGGGGCAAGCGUUAUCCGGAAUUAUUGGGCGUAAAGCGUCUGCAGGUGGGGAUAUAAGUAGGUUAUUAAAUACCGGAGCUCAACUUCGGUGCUGUAAUCUAAACUGUAUUCCUAGAGGAUAGGAGAGGUAUGCGGAAUUGUGCAAGUAGGGGUAAAAUCCGUAGAUAUGCACAGGAACACCAAAAGCGAAGGCAGCAUACUGGACUAUUCCUGACACUCAGAGACGAAAGCGUAGGUAGCAAAACGGAUUAGAUA
rnacentral:rRNA from 1 species